rnacentral:misc_RNA from 1 species
GUGACGGAACUCCGUCAGAUUUUAGCGAUUUCCGAGCAUGGCCCCAAAUACCUCAAAAUGCAGGCUUAGAGAAACCAUUGGUUCUGACACCCCAUCUUAUGAGGCACGUGUAUACAGAUCCAAAGUUCAUCCUCAUCUUUAGAAAUCCAACUGACAGGUUAUAUUCUGACUACAUCAUGAGGAGUGGACGUUCAGCUGCAGAUUUCCAUAACGUUGUGAGUGGAGAUAUUCAGAUCGAGGAGACCUGCAUGAAGAACCACACUGUGGAACAAUGUCUGUACAGCCUGGACAUAGCACAAAGACUUCGGGGUGUUAUUCCGUGUUCAUGCGAGAAUGGCUGAAGGUUUUUCCCAGAGAGCAAUUCCUUAUAUUGCGGACAGAGGACCAUGAUCAAGAUCCAAAAGCUCAGCUAACAAAAGUGUUCAACCAUCUGAAUCUGAAUUAUACCGAAGAGUCGAUGACUUCCAUUGCUAACAUGCCUCAUAAACGGGUCAGUAAGAAGAAGAUACUUACGGGACCUAUGCUUGAAAAGACCCGUGCCUUGCUGGACAAUUUUUACAGCAGAUACAAGAAGGAUUUGGCAGAUAUGCUACAGGAUAAGAGAUUUCUUUGGUUGACAUAGUUUAAAUGUGAUUGUAAACAAAGAAGAUCAUUAAUUA